ensembl:misc_RNA
AAAACAAAGGUGCCUUUGCCAAUAUUAUGUUUUACUUUGACAAGUUCUGAGAUUUCUGAGGGGAAUCCAUUAUAACUGAGAUCAGGUCAGUCAUUUAUGUUGUAUACAAAUAUAAUCUAAAGAUAGAGCCUU